GCUUGUCUAAUGUUUUUUGGGGUUGGAAUAUGUUAGAAUACAAUAAAUUUGAUUAAUUCCAAGUGCUAGAGGUGCAUGAAGAGUGUUUAGAAGUGUGGAGAAAGACUUGUUGAAAUUAGGUCCCAAAUGGGCUAAGAACUAGGAAACAUUGCGUUGAACCACUAAAUGACUUAUCUAGUGUUGUUUGGGGUUAGAAUAUGUUAGAAUACAAUGAAUUUGAUUUAUUUCAAGUGCUAGAUAUGCAUGAAGAGUGUUUAAAAGUGUGUAAAGAGACUUGCUGAAAUUUGGUCCAAAAGGGGCUAAGAACCCACAACCAAUGCUUUGAAGCAUUAAAUGGCUUGUAUACUGUUUUUUGGGGUUAGAAUAUCUUAGAAUACAAUAAGUUUGAUUGAUUACAAGUGUUAGAGGUGCAUGAAGAGUGUUUAGAAGUGUGGAGAAAGACUUGUUGAAAUUGGAUCCCAAAUGGGCUAAAAACUCGGAAACUUUGCGUUGAACCACUAAAUGACUUAUUUAGUGUUUUUUUGGGGUUAGAAUUUAUUAGAAUACAAUGAAGUUGAUUGAUUACAAGUAAUAGAGAUAGAUAAAGAGUGUUUAAAAGUGUGUAGGAAGACUUGCUGAAAUUUGGUCCAAAAUGGGAUAAGAACCCACAACCAUUGCAUUGAAUAAUUAAAUGGCUUGUCUAAUGUUGUUUGGGGUUAGAAUAAGUUAGAAUACAAUAAAUUUGAUGAAUUAAAAGUGCUAUAGGUGCAUGAAGAGUGUUUCGAAGUGUGGAGAAAGACUUGUUAAAAUUGGGUCCCAAAUGGGCUAAAAACUCGGACACAUUGCGUUGAACCACUAAAUGACUUAUCUAGUGUUGUUUAGGGUUAGAAUAUGUUAGAAUGCAAUAUACUUGAUUGAUUUCAAGUGCUAGAGAUGCAUGAAGAGUGUUUAAAAGUGUGUAGAGAGACUUGCUGAAAUUUGGUCCAAAAUGGGCUAAGAACCCACAACCAUUGCUUUGAAGCAUUAAAUGGAUUGUAUAGUGUUGUUUGGGCUUAGAAUAUGUUAGAAUACAAUAAAUUUGAUUGAUUACAAGUGCUAGAGGUGCAUGAAAAGUGUUUAGAAGUGUGGAGAAAGAUUUGUUGAAAUUGGGUCCGAGAUGGGCUAAAAUCUCGGGAACAUUGCGUUGAACCACUAAAUGACUUAUUUAGUGUUUGUUUGGGGUUAGAAUUUGUUAGAAUACAAUGAAGUUGAUUGAUUACAAGUAAUAGAGAUAGAUAAAGAGUGUUUAAAAGUGUGUAGGAAGACUUGCUGAAAUUUGGUCCAAAAUGGGAUAAGAACCCACAACCAUUGCUUUGAAUAAUUAAAUGGCUUGUCUAAUGUUGUUUGGGGUUAGAAUAUGUUAGAAUACAAUAAAUUUGAUUAAUUACAAGUGCUAUAGGUGCAUGAAGAGUGUUUAAAAGUGUGGAGAAAGACUUGUUGAAAUUAGGUCCCAAAUGGGCUAAGAACUCGGAAACAUUGCGUUGAACCACUAAAUGAAUUAUUUAGUGUUAUUUGGGGUUAGAAUUUGUUAGAAUACAAUCAAGUUGAUUGAUUACAAGUGAUAGAGAUAGAUGAAGAGUGUUUAAAAGUGUGUAGAGAGACUUGCUGAAAUUUGAUCCAAAAUGGGCUAAGAACCCAUAACCCAUUGCUUUGAAGCAUUAAAUGUCUUGGAUAGUGUUGUUUGGGGUUAGAAUAUGUUAGAAUACAAUAAAUUUGACUGAUUACAAGUGCUAGAGGUGCAUGAAGAGUGAUUAGAAGUGUGGAGAAAGACUUGUUGAAACUAGAUCCCAAAUGGGCUAAGAACUCGGAAACAUUGCGUUGAACCAUUAAAUGAAUUAUUUAGUGUUAUUUGGGGUUAUAAUUUGUUAGAAUACAAUCAAGUUGAUUGAUUACAAGUGAUAGAGAUAGAUGAAGAGUGUUUAAAAGUGUGUAGGAAAACUUGCUGAAAUUUGGUCCAAAAUGGGAUAAGAACCCACAACCUUUGCUUUGAAUAAUUAAAUAGCUUGGGUAAUGUUGUUUGGGGUUAGAAUAUGUUAAAUAGCUUGGGUCCCAAAUGGGCUAAAAACUCGGACACAUUGCGUUGAACCACUAAAUGACUUAUUUAGUGUUGUUUGGAGUUAGAAUUUGUUAGAGUACAAUGAAUUUGAUUGAUUUCAAGUGAUAGAUAUGCAUGAAGAGUGUUUAAAAGUGUGUAGAGAGACUUGCUGAAAUUUGAUCCAAAAUGGGACAAGAACCCACAACCAUUGUUUUGAAGAAUUAAAUGGCCUGUCUAAUGUUGUUUGGGGUUAGAAUAUGUUAGAUUACAAUAAAUUUGAUUAAUUACAAGUGCUAGAGCUGCAUGAAGAGUGUUUAGAAGUGUGGAGAAAGACUUGUUGAAAUUGGGUCCCAAAUGGGCUAAGAACUACGAAACAUUGCAGUGAACCACUAAAUCACUUAUCUAGUGUUGUUUGGGGUUAGAAUAUGUUAGAAUACAAUGAAUUUGAUUGAUUCAAAGUGCUAGAGAUGCAUGAAGAGUGUUUAAAAGUUUGUAGAGAGACUUGCUAAAAUUUAGUCCAAAAUGGGCUAAGAACCCACAACCAUUGCUUUGAAGCAUUAAAUGGCUUGUAUAGUAUUGUUUGGGGUUAGAAUAUGUUAGAAUACAAUAAAUUUGAUUGAUUACAAGUGCUAGAGGUGCAUGAAGAGUGUUUAGAAGUGUGGAGAAAGACUUGUUGAAAUUGGGUCCCAAAUGGGAUAAGAACUAGGACACAUUGCGUUGAACCACUAAAUAACUUAUCUAGGGUUGUUUGGCGUUAGAAUAUGUUAGAAUACAAUGAAGUUGAUUGAUUACUAGUGCUAGAGAUACAUGAAGAGAGUUUAAAAGUGUAUGGAAAGACUUGCUGAAAUUUGGCCCAAAAUGGGCUAAGAACCCACAACCAUUGCUUUGAAGAAUUAAAUGGCUUGUCUAGUGUUGUUUGGAGUUAGAAUAUGUUAGCAUACAAUAAAUUUGAUUGAUUACAAGGGCUAGAGGUGCAUGAAGAGUGUUUAGAAAUGUGGCGAAAGACUUGUUGAAAUUAGGUCUCAAAUGCGCUAAGAACUAGAAAACAUUGCGUUGAACCAAUAAAUGACUUAUCUAGUGUUGUUUGGGAUUAUAAUAUGUUAGAAUACAAUGAAGUUGAUUGAUUACAAGUGCUAGAGAUACAUGAAGAGUGUUUAAAAGUGGGUAGAAAGACUUGCUGAAAUUUGGUCCAAAAUGGGCUAAGAACCCACAACCAUUGCUUUGAAGAAUUAAAUGGCGUGUCUAGUGUUUUUUGGGGUUAGAAUAUGUUAGCAUACAAUAAAUUUGAUUGAUUACAAGGGCUAGAGGUGCAUGAAGAGUGUUUAGAAGUGUGGAGAAAGACUUGUUGAAAUUGGGUCCCAAAUGGACUAAUAACUCGGAAACAUUGCGUUGAACCACUAAAUGACUUAUCUAGUGUUGUUUGGGGUUAGAAUAUGUUAGAAUACAAUGAAGUUGAUUGAUUACAAGUGCUACAGAUACAUGAACAGUGUUUACAAGUGUGGAGGAAGACUUGCUGAAAUUUGGUCCAAAAUAGGAUAAAAUCCACAACCAUUGCUUUGAAUAAUAAAAUGGCUUGUCUAAUGUUUUUUGGGGUUGGAAUAUGUUAGAAUACAAUAAAUUUGAUUAAUUCCAAGUGCUAGAGGUGCAUGAAGAGUGUUUAGAAGUGUGGAGAAAGACUUGUUGAAAUUAGGUCCCAAAUGAGCUAAGAACUAGGAAACAUUGCGUUGAACCACUAAAUGACUUAUCUAGUGUUGUUUAGGGUUAGAAUAUGUUAGAAUUCAAUAUACUUGAUUGAUUUCAAGUGCUAGAGAUGCAUGAAGAGUGUUUAAAAGUAUGUAGAGAGACUUGCUGAACCCACAACCAUUGCUUUGAAGCAUUAAAUGGCUUGUAUAGUGUUGUUUGGGGUUAGAAUAUGUUAGAAUACAAUAAAUUUGAUUGAUUAAAAGUGCUAGAGAUGCAUGAACUGAUUUUAGAAGUGUGGAGAAAGACUUGUUGAAAUUGGGUCCGAGAUGGGCUAAAAACUCGGAAACAUUGCGUUGAACCACUAAAUGACUUAUUUAGUGUUUGUUUGGGGUUAGAAUUUGUUAGUAUACAAUGAAGUUAAUUGAUUACAAGUAAUAGAGAUAGAUAAAGAGUGUUUAAAAGUGUGUAGAAAGAUUUGCUGAAAUUUGGUCCAAAAUGGGAUAAGAACCCACAACCAUUGCUUUGNNNNNNNNNNNNNNNNNNNNNNNNNNNNNNNNNNNNNNNNNNNNNNNNNNNNNNNNNNNNNNNNNNNNNNNNNNNNNNNNNNNNNNNNNNNNNNNNNNNNUGGGUCGCAAAUGGGCUAAGAAAUCGGAAACAUUGCGUUGAACCACUAAAUGACUUAUCUAGUGUUGUUUGGGGCUAUGAUAUGUUAGAAUACAAUGAAUUUGAUUGAUUGCAAGUGCUAGAGAUGCAGGAAGAGUGUUUAAAAGUGUGUAGAGAGACUUGCUGAAAUUUGGGCCAAAAUGGGCUAAGAACUCACAACCAUUGCUUUGAAGAAUUAAAUGGAAUGUCUAAUGUUGUUUGGUGUUAUAAUAUGUUAGAAUACAAUAAAUUUGAUUAAUUACAAGUGCUAUAGGUGCAUGAAGAGUGUUUCGAAGUGUGGAGAAAGACUUGUUUAAAUUGGGUCCCAAAUGGGCUAAAAACUCGGACACAUUGCGUUGAACCACGAAAUGACUUAUCUAGUGUUGUUUGGGGUUAGAAUAUGUUAGAAUACAAUGAAUUUGACUGAUUUCAAGUGCUAGAGAUGCAUGAAGAGUGAUUAAAAGUGUGUAGAGAGACUUGCUGAAAUUUGGUCCAAAAUGGGCUAAGAACCCACAACCAUUGCUUUGAAGAAUUAAAUGGAUUGUAUAGUGUUGUUUGGGGUUAGAAUAUGUUAGAAUACAAUAAAUUUGAUUGAUUACAACUGCUAGAGGUGCAUGAAGAGUGUUUAGAAGUGUGGAGAAAGCUUGUUGAAAUUGGGUCCGAGAUGGGCUAAAAACUCGGGAACAUUGCGUUGAACCACGAAAUGACUUAUUUAGUGUUUGUUUGGGGUUAGAAUUUGUUAGAAUACAAUGAAGUUGAUUGAUUAAAAGUAAUAGAGUUAGAUAAAGAGUGUUUAAAAGUGUGUAGGUAGACUUGCUGAAACUUGGUCCAAAAUGGGAUAAGAACCCACAACCAUUGCUUUGAAUAAUUAAAUGGCUUAUCUAAUGUUGUUUGGGACUAGAAUAUGUUAGAAUACAAUAAAUUUGAUUAAUUACAAGUGCUAUAGGUGCAUGAAGAGUGUUUCGAAGUGUGGAGAAAGACUUGUUUAAAUUGGGUCCCAAAUGGGCUAAAAACUCGGACACAUUGCGUUGANNNNNNNNNNNNNNNNNNNNNNNNNNNNNNNNNNNNNNNNNNNNNNNNNNNNNNNNNNNNNNNNNNNNNNNNNNNNNNNNNNNNNNNNNNNNNNNNNNNNAAUGACUUAUUUAGUGUUGUUUGGGGUUAGAAUAUGUUAGAAUACAAUGAAUUUGAUUGAUUUCAAGUGCUAGAGAUGCAUGAUGAGUGUUUGAAAGUGUGUAAAGAGACUUGCUGAAAUUUGGUCCAAAAUUGGGCUAAGAAUCCACAACCAUUGAUUUGAAGCAUUAAAUAGCUUGAAUAGUGUUGUUUGGGGUUAGAAUAUAAUAUAAUACAAUAAAUUUGAUUGAUUACAAGUGCUAGUGGUGCAUGAAGAGUGUUUAGAAGUGUGGAGAAAAACUUGUUGAAAUUGUGUCCCAAAUGGGCUAAAAACUCGGAAACUUCGCGUUGAACCACUAAAUCACUUAUUUAGUGUUGUUUGGGGUUAGAAUUUGUUAUAAUACAAUGAAGUUGAUUAAAUACAAGUAAUAGCGAUAGAUAAAGAGUGUUUAAAAGUGAUUGAUUACAAGUGCUAGAGAUACAUGAAGAGUGUUUAAAUGUGUGUAGAAAGACCUGCUGAAAUUAGGUCCAAAAUGGGCUAAGAACCCACAACCAUUAGUUUGAAGAAUUAAAUGGCUUGUCUAGUGUUGUUUGGGGUUAGAAUAUGUUAGCAUACAAUAAAUUUGAUUGAUUACAAGGGCUAGAAUAAAAUAAAUUUGAUUAAUUACAAGUGCUAUAGGUGAAUGAAGAGUGUUUCGAAGUGUGGAGAAAGACUUGUUGAAAUUGGGUCCCAAAUGGGCUAAAAACUCUGAAACAUUGCGUUGAACCACUAAAUGGCUUAUCUAGUGUUUUUUGGAAUUAUAAUUUGGUAGAAUACAAUGAAUUUGAUUGAUUACAAGUCAUAGAGAUAGAUAAAGAGUGUAAGUGUGGAGGAAGACUUGCUGAAAUUUGGUCCAAAAUAGGAUAAGAACCCACAACCAUUGCUUUGAAGAAUUAAAUGGCUUGUCUAAUGUUGUUUGGGGUUAUAAUAUGUUCGAAUACAAUAAAUUUUAUUAAUUACAAGUGCUAUAGGUACAUGAAGAGUGUUUCGAAGUGUGGAGAAUGACUUGUUGAAAUUGGGUCCCAAAUGGGCUACGAACUCGGAAACAUUGCGUUAAACCACUAAAUGACUUAUUUAGUGUUAUUUGGGGUUAGAAUUUGUUAUAAUACAAUCAAGUUGAUUGAUUACAAGUGAUAGAGAUAGAUGAAGGGUGUUUAAAAGUGUGUAGGAAGACUUGCUGAAAUUUGGUCCAAAAUGGGAUAAGAACCCACAACCAUUGCUUUGAAUAAUUAAAUGGCUUGUCUAAUAUUGUUUGGGGUUAUAAUAUGUUAGAAUACCAUAAAUUUGAUUAAAUACAAGUGCUACAGGUGCAUGAAGAGUGUUUCGAAGUGUGGAGAAAGACUUGUUGAAAUUAAGUCCCAAAUGGGCUAAGAACUCGGAAACAUUACGUUGAACCACUAAAUGACUUAUUUAGUGUUAUUUGGGGUUAGAAUUUGUUAGAAUACAAUCAAGUUGAUUGAUUACAAGUGAUAGAGAUAGAUGAAGAGUGUUUGAAAGUGUGUAGGAAGACUUGCUGAAAUUUGGUCCAAAAUGGGGUAAGAUCCCACAACCAUUGCUUUGAAUAAUUAAAUGGCUUGUCUAAUUUUGUUUGGGUUAGAAUAUUUUAAAAUACAAUAAAUUUGAUUGAUUUCAAGUGCUAGAGAUGCAUGAAGAGUGAUUAAAAGUGUGUAGAGAGACUUGCUGAAAUUUGGUCCAAAAUGGGCUAAGAACCCAGGAAACAUUGCAUUGAACCACUAAAUGACUUAUCUAGUGUUGUUUAGGGUUAGAAUAUGUUAGAAUUCAAUAUACUUGAUUGAUUUCAAGUGCUAGAGAUGCAUGAAGAGUGUUUAAAAGUAUGUAGAGAGACUUGCUGAAAUUUGGUCCAAAAUGGGCUAAGAACCCACAACCAUUGCUUUAAAGCAUUAAAUGGCUUGUAUAGUGUUGUUUGGGGUUAGAAUAUCUUAGAAUACAAUAAAUUUGAUUGAUUAGAAGUGUUAGAGGUGCAUGAAGAGUGUUUAGUAGUGUGGAGAAAGACUUGUUGGAAUUGGGUCCCAAAUGGGCUAAAAACUCGGAAACAUUGCAUUGAACUACUAAAUGAUUAAGUUAAUGUUGUUUGGGGUUAGAAUUUAUUAGAAUACAAUGAAGUUGAUUGAUUACAAGUAAUAGAGAUAGAUAAAGAGUGUUUAAAAGUGUGUAGGAAGACUUGCUGAAAUUUGGUCCAAAAUGGGAUAAGAACCCACGACCAUUGCUUUGAAUAAUAAAAUGGCUUGUCUAAUGUUUUUUGGGGUUGGAAUAUGUUAGAAUACAAUAAAUUUGAUUAAUUCCAAGUGCUAGAGGUGCAUGAAGAGUGUUUAGAAGUGUGGAGAAAGACUUGUUGAAAUUAGGUCCCAAAUGGGCUAAGAACUAGGAAACAUUGCGUUGAACCACUAAAUGACUUAUCUAGUGUUGUUCGGGGUUAAAAUAUGUUAGAAUACAAUGAAUUUGAUUGAUUUCAAGUGCUAGAGAUGCAUGAAGAGUGUUUAAAAGUGUGUAAAGAGACUUGCUGAAAUUUGG
rnacentral:lncRNA from 1 species